GCAGAGACUAGUCAGCAAGGAAUGGACAGAGAAGCCCCCAGUCUGGACGAAUGUGGCGGAGAAGACAGCAACAGUUUUCACCAGGAAGUUCAGUCAAUUGCAGAGCUGGCUUGCUUCACAGAAAGCAGGGCCCAAUCUUUCAUGAACAUCCUUACGUAAGAAGAUGCAUCCUCAGUGAAUGGAUUCAGAGUGGCUCUCCUCACUCUGUUACACCGAAACUGUCUCUUGUCUUUAUAUCUUGUCUAUUAUAAUGGUCAAUUUUAAUCUCAAA